AGAGUUUGAUCCUGGCUCAGAACGAACGCUGGCGGCGUGGAUAAGACAUGCAAGUCGAACGCUAAUUUGGGUGUAGCAAUACAUCCAAGUUGGAGUGGCGCAAGGGUGCGUAACACGUGGGUAAUUUGCCGUGAAGUUGGGGAUAACUCGCUGAAAGGCGAGCUAAUACCGAAUGUGAAAGUUGGAAGGCAUCUUCUGAUUUUCAAAGUUGGGGACCGCAAGGCCUGACGCUUCACGAUAAGCCCGCGGCCUAUCAGCUAGUUGGUGAGGUAACGGCUCACCAAGGCUAAGACGGGUAGCUGGUCUGAGAGGACGACCAGCCACACUGGAACUGAGACACGGUCCAGACACCUACGGGUGGCAGCAGUCGAGAAUUUUUCUCAAUGGGCGAAAGCCUGAAGGAGCGACGCCGCGUGGGGGAUGAAGGGCUUCGGCUCGUAAACCCCUGUCAUUUGCGAACAAACCUUACGUUCUAACAAAACGUGAGCUGAUUGUAGCGAAAGAGGAAGGGACGGCUAACUCUGUGCCAGCAGCCGCGGUAAUACAGAGGUCCCAAGCGUUGUUCGGAUUCACUGGGCGUAAAGGGUGCGUAGGUGGCAGGGUAAGUUUGAUGUGAAAUCUCCGAGCUUAACUCGGAAACUGCAUUGAAUACUAUCCUGCUCGAGGGUUGGAAGGGGGACUGGAAUUCUCGGUGUAGCAGUGAAAUGCGUAGAUAUCGAGAGGAACACCAGUGGCGAAGGCGAGUCCCUGGACAACACCUGACACUGAGGCACGAAAGCUAGGGGAGCAAACAGGAUUAGAUACCCUCGUAGUCC
rnacentral:rRNA from 1 species